GAUGAACGCUAGCGGCAGGCUUAAUACAUGCAAGUCGAGGGGGCAGCAAUGUCACCGGCGGACGGGUGCGUAACGCGUACGAAACCUCCUUUAUCAGGGGGAUAGCCCGGGGAAACCCGGAUUAAUACCGCAUAAUAUAUUGAAUGGCAUCAUUUGUAUAUUGUAAGAAUUAAUUGUAUAGAGAUGGUGAUGCGUGGAGU
rnacentral:rRNA from 1 species